rnacentral:lncRNA from 1 species
AUUUCAUGUUACAAUCUAAAAAGUAGGUGUUCUAUUCGAGAACUUGCUAUGAAGUAUUUGAGUGAUGUUGAGUGACUCAGCUAACACGUCAGGAUCUCUUUCCUUAUGACAAAUAGUAGUGUGUAGACUAAGUUAUAAUAAGGACAUUUCCAAACGCAAUAGUCUGCUUUUUUUUAUCGUAAAGAAAUUGAGCACCCUAGAUGACUAGGCCUGGAAUGGAAGAGAUAAAUUAGCCAGUGGGGGAAAGAGAAUAGAAAUGCACGUCAUGGAGGAAACGAAGAUAAAUUUGUUUGAGUUAUAAUUUUGCCUAGAGCCAGACCUCAAUUAUGGGCAAUAGGUUAUAAUUUGUCAUCACUCUGGGCACUAAAUUUAAUUGUGAAGCUUGUCACUAUUAUAUAUAGUCAUUUUAGGAGUCUUACUUUAAUGUCCAUUUGAUGUUCCUCCAAAGGUAGAAGUUAGUGGAUACUUUGAUUUCACACAGAAAUGCUUUAUUUUUUUGCUCUUGAAGGACAUUAUCUGUUUAAAUGUGUCCUCUUUAGCUCUCAGGAAUGCUUGAUAUUCUUGUCCCCUACGCCUGCGAAUCUAACUCGCACGUCUCAAGAGGCUCACGCACGGGAAUUUCUGGUCACAAAACUACAGCUCGCGCAGUUCUGUGAUGUGCAGACGCACAGUAGGAUGCUCAUACAUCGCCAAACUGAAAACCAAGACAGAGCCUUCAAAAGUGUUCCAGGGUAUCACUCGGUCCACUUUUAUGUCAUCCAGGCUGUGCCAACCAUGGAGAACAUGAAGUAGUAAACCACAAAGCUUGUAAAGUUGACUGCACCUGAAGUAAAUUGGUACAAGUUCCAUCACUAAAUGUGCCCUUUGUUGGAUUGAAAUGAAAUGGGAUGUCAUGAAGACUUAUGGAGGAGAUUAGGUGAUGUAAGCAUAACCCUCUAUGUGGAGGUACCAUGAGGACAUCUUUAAUAAUAAUAAUAAUUAUUAUAUUAUUAUAUAUAUAGCUGUUGAAGAAUGUUGUCAUUGUCAACUUCUUCGUAGCUUUAGAAUUGACAUAUUUUACAGAAAAAAAUAUGAUUGGUCUAUUGCAAUAAAGUUUAAGAAAUAAGAGGGUUGUAUCUAGCA